CAGGACGAACGCUGGCGGCGUGCUUAACACAUGCAAGUCGAGCGAUGAAGCUCCUUCGGGAGUGGAUAGCGGCGGACGGGUGAGUAACACGUGGGUAACCUGCCUCAUAGAGGGGAAUAGCCUUUCGAAAGGAAGAUUAAUACCGCAUAUGGUAGCUUUAUCGCAUGGUAAUGCUAUUAAAGGAGUAAUCCGCUAUGAGAUGGACCCGCGUCGCAUUAGCUAGUUGGUGAGGUAACGGCUCACCAAGGCGACGAUGCGUAGCCGACCUGAGAGGGUGAUCGGCCACAUUGGGACUGAGACACGGCCCAGACUCCUACGGGAGGCAGCAGUGGGGAAUAUUGCACAAUAGGGGAAACCCUGAUGCAGCAACGCCGCGUGAGUGAUGACGGCCUUCGGGUUGUAAAACUCUGUCUUUGGGGACGAUAAUGACGGUACCCAAGGAGGAAGCCACGGCUAACUACGUGCCAGCCGCAGC
rnacentral:rRNA from 1 species